GAUUGAAAAUUUCAUCUACUUUUACUGUUAAAAACUAAAAUUGCUGACAGAAUAAUCAAACAGUAACACGUGAUGUGUCACAUGUACCUCAUGCUGAUGUAUAAAGGCUAAUUUUUUAACAUUAAAAACAGAUGUAAUUUGUAAUA
rfam:Gossypium hirsutum cultivar TM-1 chromosome 9, whole genome shotgun sequence